rnacentral:tRNA from 2 species
GUAAAUAGGUGUAAUGAUGCACAGAAAAUUUUGAUUUUUACGGACAAGUUUAAUCCUUGAAUUUACA